rnacentral:rRNA from 1 species
UACAGAGGGUGCGAGCGUUAAUCGGAAUUACUGGGCGUAAAGCGUGCGUAGACGGUUAUUUAAGUCGGGUGUGAAAGCCCCGGGCUCAACCUGGGAAUUGCAUUCGAGACUGAAUAGCUAGGGUACGGUAGAGGGAAGCGGAAUUUCCGGUGUAGCGGUGAAAUGCGUAGAUAUCGGAAGGAACAUCAGUGGCGAAAGCGGCACGCUGGGCCCGUACUGACGCUGAGGCGCGAAAGCCAGGGUAGCAAACGGG